GAUGAAGAACGUAGCGAAAUGCGAUAAUUAAUGUGAAUUGCAGAAUUCCGUGAAUCAUCGAGUUUUUGAACGCAUAUUGCGCCCCUUGGUAUUCCGAGGGGCAUGCCUGUCCGAGCGUCAUUGCAACCCUUCAAGCACGGCUUGUGUGUUGGACGGCCGCCCCAGUGUGGGCGGGUCCCAAAUGCAGUGGCGGCGCCGCGAUCCGGGUGCUCGAGUGCAUGGAAACCACGCGCUCGUUAGGCCCCGUCGGGCGCCGGCCGACCUAAUUAUCUUCGUUCUGGUUGACCUCGGAUCAGGUAGGAAUACCCGCUGAACUUAAGCAUAUCAGUAAGCGGAGGA
rnacentral:misc_RNA from 1 species